CUCUGCUAUAAUAUAUUAUACAUCAAGAAUAAGGAACACAAUAUUGCAGAGAAUGCCAAAGUUAGGCUCAAGGAAUAAGGAGUUUGUUGUCAACUACAGACAACAACAACCUUCAGAUUUAUCAACAUUAGAAGGAGGGACCCCGCAUGAUCGACGUACCGACUUAAGUGUGCCUCCCUCAGGCACAAUCUCCAGGCUUGGGAGACGGCAGCAAACCAACCUCAUUUCCUGCUCCGCUGCUUUACAAAUGGCUCCUGGAAGCUGAACCAAGACCAAGGCUGGGUAACCUACAUACUGCUUUGCUGCACUGCAAGCUUCUCACCCACUGAUCAGCCACUCAUCUCAACACCGUGAAGAAUCAUCCUCUUUGACCGAUAUAUCAUCUUAUGAAACAUAUAAGAUGGCUGCAC